GUGCCCAGUACUCUCAGUCUGUCUCUGUAUAUAGUGCUGAGUACUCUCAGUCUGUCUCUCUAUAUAGUGCCGAGUACUCUCAGUCUGUCUCUGUAUAUAGUGCUCGGUACUCUCAGUCUGUCUCUGUAUAUAGUGCCCAGUACUCUCAGUCUGUCUCUGUAUAUAGUGCUCGGUACUCUCAGUCUGUCUCUGUAUAUAGUGCCCAGUACUCUCAGUCUGUCUCUGUAUAUAGUGCUGAGUACUCUCAGCCUGUCUCUCUAUAUAGUGUCGAGUACUCUCAGUCUGUCUCUGUAUAUAGUGCUCGGUACUCUCAGUCUGUCUCUGUAUAUAGUGCCGAGUACUCUCAGUCUGUCUCUGUAUAUAGUGCUCAGUACUCUCAGUCUGUCUCUGUAUAUAGUGCUCGGUACUCUCAGUCUGUCUCUGUAUAUAGUGCUCGGUACUCUCAGUCUGUCUCUGUAUAUAUUGCCCAGUACUCUCAGUCUGUCUCUGUAUAUAGUGCUCGGUACUCUCAGUCUGUCUCUGUAUAUAGUGCCAAAUACUCUCAGUCUGUCUCUGUAUAUAGUGCCCAGUACUCUCAGUCUGUCUCUGUAUAUAGUGCCCAGUACUCUCAGUCUGUCUCUCUAUAUAGUGCCCAGUACACUCACUCUCUGUAUAGUGGCUGGAAGGGAGUAGAGUGUCUCAGUGAGUGUGUCUACCUUGCUGUCAGUGUGUGUGCCCCAGUCCAGGCCGGUUGCAGUCUCUGUAUCUCACACAGUGUCCCAUGCUCCCUCAGAUCCCAAAUAAAAAA